rnacentral:rRNA from 1 species
GACAGAGGGUGCAAACGUUGUUCGGAAUUACUGGGCGUAAAGCGCGUGUAGGCUGCUUCGCAAGUCGGGUGUGAAAGCCCUGGGCUCAACCUAGGAAGUGCACUCGAAACUGCGAAGCUGGAGUCCUGGAGAGGAAGGCGGAAUUCUCGGUGUAGAGGUGAAAUUCGUAGAUAUCGAGAGGAACACCGGUGGCGAAGGCGGCCACCUGGACUGAUACUGACACUGAGGUGCGAAAGCGUGGGGAGCAAACAGG